rnacentral:lncRNA from 1 species
GUAUCGCAACAGGAAUCUAACUGUGACAGCCCUAGGAUUAAUAACAGACUUGAUCGACCAGGAUCCUAACAAUGGUGCGUUUGUCUAUGGAUUUAUGAGCCUCAUAGAGAAAGUUUUUAAUGGAGUCGUUGUUGCAGUCAUACAAUUCUGUAAACCAAAAGACAAAAUUGCUUACAGUGCCUACGGAAAGUACGUCAUCUUCAUAUGCUGUAUUAUGCCUUGUGCUCUCGGGAUUAUCUUCAUGUUCUUUACUCCCGUCAAUCUUGCUGCAUCUAAUCGAGAAAAUGAAAGGAUACCACCUCCCGAGAGUGAAAAGCAGACCGGCUCCUCGAAUCCAGAGAAUGACUUAAAUUCCCCAGAAGAUCGAAGAUGAUAGUCUAUCCAAACUAUUCAAACGACAAUUCAGUACCGGCCUCUGGCUCAGAGAAGAGUUUACCAAUUUACUUAUUUUUUGACUGCUGUUGUUUUUGACAGUAUUGUGCAUAUCUU